UGGUCAAUAGCCAAAAGGCUGAACCAGCAACUUGAAGGAACGAAAAACCGAAGUCAUGAGCGGUUACCAUGUUAAUAGAAUGUGGGGUAUUUCGCGAAUAGUUCGAAGUAAAUUUUGAUUAUGACAUAAUUUACUUCAAGGUCUUGACUAACUCAUGUGCCAGCAGUCGCGGUAAGACAUGGAAGGCCAGCGUUAUUCAUAUUUAUUAGGUUUAAAGGGUACCUAGACAGUAGAUUUUAGCUUUUUAUCUUCAAAGAUAACUGUACUUUAUUUACUAGAGUUUUAUAUAAGGAAUUCAGAAGUGUGAGUGUAGGGAUAAAAUCCGUUGAUACCACUUAAUAACUGGUUUAGGUGAAGACAGGUUCUUAUGUAAAAACUGACGUUGAGGGACGAAGGCUCAAUAAAAGCAACGGGAUUAGUUACCCCAGUACUAGGGGCAGACAAUGAUGAAUGCUAUAUAUAAGAAGAUUUUUA
rnacentral:rRNA from 1 species